GAGGAGGAGGCGGAGGAGGAGGUUGUGGAGCCGGGUGGGGGGCAACGCUUUGGUGAUCCCCGCUGCCUCGCUAGGUUUGGCCCGCGGGAGGGGACGGAUGGAGAGCGAGAUAGGAUAGCGAGUGAUAUAGCAAGUCUGUUGGAGUGCAAUUUUUGGGAUGGCUUGCUAAAAUUUGGCUUGGCAAGCUAGAUAGCAAGUCUCUUGGAGAUGGUCUUAGUUGAUUGGCAAGCUACAUAAUGAGUUUGUUAGGGUAAAUCUUGGCUGGUUCUCCUGAUGUUUAUCCAUUGUAUCUCCUUCCUAUGUAAAGGCCACGUGAGGGGCUCUUUCUCACCAAUUAACAUGCAGCCAUUGCGACCACCAGAAGGGCCGACGUUCUCUCCAGCACCUCUAACAUUUUACAUGGUAAUCAGAGCCUAGAUUGGAAGAAGCCUCAGUCAUGUCGAGUUCCUCAUCAGUGGUGAUGGCGAUGAACCCGCUGAUCGCACAUCCUGUUGCUGAGAAGCUCUCCAAGAUGAACCAC
rnacentral:lncRNA from 1 species